rnacentral:rRNA from 1 species
AUUGAACGCUGGCGGCAGGCCUAACACAUGCAAGUCGAACGAUUGGCGGACGGGUGAGUCAUGUCUGUGAACCUGCCUGUUGGAGGGGGAUACCUACUGGAAACGUUAGCUAAUACCGCAUACCAUCAGAUUUGCACAGAUGGGAUUAGCGUGUUGGUGGGGGAACGGCUCACCAAGGCGACGAUCCCUAGCUGGUCUGAGAGGAUGACGGGCAACACUGGAACGGAGAAACGGUCAAGACUCCGACGGGAGGAAGCAGUGGGGAACAUUGCAAAAUGGGCGAAAGCCUGAUGCAGACAGGCCGCGGAGAUGAAGAAGGCCUUGGGGUUGUAAAGUACUUUCAGCGGGGAGGCGUUACCCGCAGAAGAAGCACCGGCUAACUCCGUGCCAGCCGCCGCGGUAAUAC